rfam:Eimeria maxima Weybridge genomic scaffold, Emw_scaff1020
CUGAAAAGCUAGUGCCGCGACGCUACCAUCUGUUGGAUUAUGACUGAACGCCUCUAAGUCAGAAUCCAUGCUGGCUAAGCAGUGUUUCUCAUCGCCUCAUUUGUUACUUGCAUAUUUUUCUAGUGCCUCGAGCACAACAUCUCAUCAAAGCCCCCCGCGUCAUGCGCUGGGCUAUAAUCGCAAUUUCGCACAAUUGAGGCGCUACAUCCAUUGCAGACGACUUUGGCGCAACCAGGUAUUGUAAGUGUGAGAGUAGGCUUGUCCUACGAUCCACUAAGAUUCAGCCUGCGUUGUACGAUGUGU